UUCCCCUGUUCCUGCAGCAGCCAGCAGUGCUCGUCGCGCCUCGCCUCUUCCGCACCCCCGCCUGCUUUGGAAAGAAGCAGGUGUGAGCGGAGUUGGGGGGGUGUGAGCAGAGGAGGUAUCAGACCCCUAGGAGGUUUCCGUACCCACCCCCACCCCGGUUCCACCGCACAUCCUCCCAGAUCGCAGGAAGGAAACUCCCCUGGGACAGCGAAGGCCAGUGAGCAUUAAUUAGCUCUAGGGUGAACAGCAAUAAAGGUAACAUGACAAUAGGAAUCCACCUUGAAUGUGCACCAGGUGCUUUGCUUGGCUCAUUUCACGAAAAGGCCCUCCUCCCCACCCUGAUGUAGCGGGCACACCCACGUGCCAGCCCCGCCCAUCUGAGCCACACAGCACGGGGGCCUGGCUGGAGUUCUCAAACUUUAGCAGCAGAGUUCCACCCCGGGAUUCUGACCAGGCAGGACCCAGGAGGCUGCAUUUCAGACAGACCGCCAGAGUCGCUGUGCUGGCGGUCCCCAAAGUCAAUGGGAGAAGUUCUGCAUUAAGAUGGCGUAAGGGUUUGGGUUCUGUAGCCAGGCUGGGUGGCGGGCGGCAGUCCUGCCACCUGUCUGACCAAGAUUCUUACUCUUGAAAAUGAGGAUAAUAUAAUGAGAUGUCCAGCAGAAGGACCUGGCAUGGGACACGGCACAAGGUGGUCUCUGUGGAAUCGUGUCCACUUUGCAAAUGAGGAAUUGAUUCUCAGAGAGGUCACAGAGCGAGAGAAGAAACUCAAAGUCAAGCCUUUCCAGUUCGCAAGUCCAGGCCAUUGCGCUCCAUGGUGCUCGGUGACACGGCCAUCGACGAUCCACCUGUAUUCAAAGCCUUCCCAAGGCCCCGUCUGCUCUCCUGGGUCUCCUGCCAAACAAGCCACCUUUACCAGCCAGCAAGGAGCCGGAAGAGAGGAAGCUGGGGCGUGACGCCCUGACCCAGGGCAUUCACCCCUGACGGCAGGGCUUAGAGAAAUCAUCUGGAGCUCCCUGUGGCAGCAGGAAGGUGGAGACGCCAAGGCACAGUCCUCACCAGGCAACUGCGUCUCUUCUCCCGGAGGAGCUGAUUAAAAACAGAGGCCACGUUGAGAAAGGCUGGUACCUGUGAGGCCACAAUGGGCAGCUGCACCCAGAGACGGCGAGGAUGGUGAUUAUCCGGGUCUCCCAUAUUAGGUCGAGGAAGGCUACCGAACCACACCGGGGCCUCAGUUUCCCCACCUGCAGAAAGGUAAUGGUGGCUGUGAGCAUUAAAUGUGGGUUCAUUUAUGUAAACUGCUUAAAACAGUGCCUGGCAUGGGGAAGCACUGAUAAACAGGCUCUGAAAAGGGGGGAGGGGAGCCCCGAUUUGUAGCAUUUGCCCAUUUCCCUGGCAUAAAUACACCCACCAUGGUCAAUUUCAGGCUACCAAUAAUUUAACAACUGGGGCUUACAAAAUUCCUGAAUGUGUAACACCAGCGGGUCCAAGAUAAGUGUGGUAGACUAUUGUCAUAAUUCAUGUGUUCAUUUGUUCCUCCAUUCAUUCGCUUGUUCACUCACUGCUGAGUGCCAGGAAUCCAGACACUACGGUGCAGGAGUCGGUCCCUGACCUCGGGGAUCCCGGUCUGGAAGGAAAGGGACAAUGAACAGACGUUCAGUGAAGGGGCCACCAACAGUACCGGCUGCUGCAGGAGCCUGGAGGGAAGGCACUCAGCACAUGCCCAUUUUGUGGAUGGGAAGACCAUCCCAUAAAGUGUCUCAGAAUGGGCUGUAAAACCAGAAUCAGAGUGCAGAGGAGAGAGAGGCUGGGUAAAUGACAGUUCCUAGCAUUCGCCGGGCUCAAUCCUCUGUCCCUCUAAACACUGAGCUUAGGGGUACUCCCAAGGCUUGGCAACGUUCUGGGAACAAGACACUUUUAAUCUCCAAGAAAUUUACAGGAACUCCAGGUGCCAUCUUGCUUACUCUGACUUAAAGACCACGCCUAAACCACUUCAAACAAGUGAGGAUUAGAGACGCUCUCAUAAAAUAUGGGCAGGGAGGGAAACCCCGCAGGUGCCCCGCACCCAUGUCUUGACUCUGACACAGAUAGUUUUUCUCUUCAGCUCAUUCAGGCUCCCUAUGCUGGGCUCACAUGCCUUUGUGUGAAUGAAAGAAUCAUCCCCCAUUCGCAUUUGGAAUUCGAGUUACCUUUUAAAAAAGGUUCCUUUCUCACCUGAGGCACCCUGAUCCUUUAAGCUAACCUUGGGUGUUGCGGGAGAUAGAUUGAGAGCUGAGAUAGAUCAGCUCUGCCAUUCCUGGUUGGGAGUUUUUGCUGUUCUGAACCUCAGUGCCCUCAUCUGUAUGAUGGGUCCACACACCAAUUUUACAGAGAGGACUGGGCAAAGGUGCAGUGGCUGGCAUAGACACGCCCUCCCCGACUGUUCAUUCUCUCCCUUGGAGGAAGAGCCAGACUUUACAGCCAGCCUGUCUCUCUCUGUCUGUGAGCUCUUCAUCCCUCUCUUCCCCACAGUACCUGGUGAGACAAAUAAACAGAACUUACACUUGAACCUCUGUCCAGUGCCACUUCUUAGGAAAUAAUUGGCAGAGUGAUCCCUGCAAGGGGAUUUUAGAAUAACUGUCCCCCCUCUCACUGCAGCCACCAGCAUCUACAUCUCAACCCAGACCACAG